rnacentral:rRNA from 1 species
CGAACGGGUGAGUAAUGCGUGACCAACCUGCCCCAUGCUCCAGAAUAGCUCUUGGAAACGGGUGGUAAUGCUGGAUGCUCCAACUUGACGCAUGUCUUGUUGGGAAAGUGUUUAGUGGCAUGGGAUGGGGUCGCGUCCUAUCAGCUUGUAGGCGGGGUAAUGGCCCACCUAGGCUUCGACGGGUAGCCGGCCUGAGAGGGCGGACGGCCACAUUGGGACUGAGAUACGGCCCAGACUCUACGGGAGGCAGCAGCC